UGCACCCCCUAAGCGGCGGACUGGUGAGUAACGCGUGGGUGAUCUACCUUGAGUGAUGGGGAUAACCGCUAGAAAUAGCGGGUAAUACCGAAUAUGGUUAUCUGGCUGUGGCUGGGUAAAGAAAGGCGCUUCGGCGCCGUCUUGAGAUGAGCCCGCGUCCCAUUAGCUUGUUGGCGGUGUAACGGACCACCAAGGCGAAGAUGGGUAGCCUGGCCUGAGAGGGUGAACGGCACAUUGGGACUGAGAUACGGCCCAAACUCCUACGGGAGGCAGCAGCUAAGAAUAUUCCGCAAUGGACGAAAGUCUGACGUGAGCGACGCCGCGUGGAUGAGGAAGAGCCGAAAGGUUGUAAAAUCCUUAUUGUCGAUGAAGAAUAAUCACAGUAGGGAAUGAUUGUGAGGAUGACGUUACGUCGGCGAAUAAGCCCCGGCUAAUUA
rnacentral:rRNA from 1 species